GGAGGUACAACGCACCGAGGGAACGGAAAGUGUGAGAACCAGCUGGAAAAGCUGCCCCUUCAUAGCUACGUGGCGCGGCUGCAAGCCUCGCGCGGCGCAGGCUCCUGGCGUGGUGCCUGCGGGUUCUUUCGCCCGCCCACGACGGAAGAUUCGCUGACACAAAGGUACCGGUUACUGAGGGAGACGUCACCAUGAAGACCAGAAGGUCGAUGGCAGAACUUGACAACAGGGCGCCGGGCAGAAGGCACAGUUUGGACUCGGUACACCCCAGGGACACAGCCCCGGAGAAUGGAUCCCACGAGCUCCAGCAUUGCUGCUCCCUCUGGCUUCUCCCCCUUUGGGGCCUCUGCUAGUUCCAGGGCCUUUCCCAGGUCCUGCUCUCCCCUGUCUUCCUGCAGUGGUGAGGCUGGAGGCAGGGACUGGGGAGAGGCAACAGUCUCAGAGGCCAAAGCCGAGUCCGGAGUCUGGGGUGCCAGGGAGGAGGAAGGAGUUCCACAGUCCAGGGCUUCAGAAUCUUGGGGAGAAGCUGGAGACUGUGAGCCUAGAGGGGAGGCUAGGGCACAGGCCAGGGCUUGAGGAUCCAGUGGAGAAGCAAGGGCUGAGUCCAAUGAUGGAGACUCGGGAGCCUUUAAGACUGACUGUGGAUAGAAAUGAGCUGUGUGAAUGCCUCUCCUACUAUCCCCUAAUCAGGGGACAUCUCUGACCCCAAGACAGUAUCUAUACUUAACGGUUAUUAUAUGCCAGUCUCUAUUCUAUGGGCUUUACAUAUAUUAACUCAUUUUCUCCUUCCUCCUAGCAAUCCUUUCUUAAAAUAAACUUUAAUCCUAUAAAAUGGUCUAUAUUUUACAAAACUAUCAUUGUCAUGAAAGACAAAGAAAGGCAGAGGAACUAUUCCAAAAUAAAGACUAAAAAUACAACAGGACAAUGUCAGGACAGCUGUACCAGUAUAACAUUUCCUGGACUUGAUCACUGUACUGGGGUUACACACUAGAGUGCCUUUGUUCUUAAGUAAUUCACAUUAAAAUAUUAAGGGUAAAAGGACAUGAUGACUGCAACCUUCUCUUAAGUGAUUCUGAAGAUAUAAAUUGUGUGUAUGUAAAGAAAUAGAGAUUGGCGUUUUUCAAGAAAACAACCAACCCCUAGCCAGGCUAGAUGAGGCAUGCCUGUAAUGCCAGCCAACUCAAGAGGCUGAGGCAAGUUUGAGAUCAGCCUCUGCAACUUAGCAAGACACUGUCUCAAAAUAAAAAUUUAAAAAAGGUCUGGCAAUAUAGCUCAGUAGUACAUAAUCCCUAGGAAAGAAAGAGAACACAACUCUUUUUGGGGUUGGGGAUGUAGCUUAGUGGUAUAUCACUUAGUUAGCAUGCCUGAAGCCCUGGGUUCCAUCCCAGCACUGCAAAGAAAACAAUGACACUUUUUGUGGGGGCAACAGGUAUACAGGAACUCUACUUUCUGCUUCACUUUUCUAAGAACCUAAAACUGGCCUAAAAAAAUAAAGUCAAUUAUUAAAAAAUAACCAUAGCCCUUUCCUAUUCCAAAAAUAAAAUGUGUACAUUAGAUGUCAGAAAAUAUACAUAAGCAAAAACAUAAUCCUAAAAUUACUCUAUAACCUUUUAUCCAUCCAUAUUCACAUUUCUCCAAUAACAAUAACCCUUUCACAUAUGUCCCAUUAUUCCCAUCUUUAUAAAUGUAGAACUAAGGCAGAGAGGUUAAGAACUUGCCCACAGUCAUAUGACCAUUCCCUGCCUGCCUCCCUGAUCACUCACCUGGGGCUCUUCCAAGUCACCCAGAUCCAAGAAGAGGUCAAGAUCACAGCCAUGGACAUCAAAGCUGUUUAUGGACGAGCCAAAAGGAUGGACCACACAGCCUAAGUGCCAAGCAGAGAACAAAGGUGCAGAAACAUUAGGGAAGAGCAGGAGACUUCAGAACACAGUGGAGUACAAAAAUGAAAGACCAAUCAAAUAAACACCUCCAGGUGAGGAGACCUACGUAUUCAGACACGGCAGAGCAAAGGACAGGAAGGGAUCACACGCUGGGGAAGGGGACUUACCAGGGAAGAACUCUGUGAAGACCUCCUGCAUCAGGGCCACCACAAGGCUCCGAAGCUGCUGCUCAGCCUCAGACAAUUCCCUCAACUGGACAAGUUUUACCAUCUGUGCUUCCACAUCUGGAGCCUCAGCUAGUGCUUUCGCCAGCUGGUGACUAUCAGGCACUGCUCCUUUGGGGGAUUUGGAGGCUGGACUCUGGAACUCCUUCUGCUCCCGUGGCCGGACCCGCAAGCGAUGUCCUCCCAGGCUGUGUUGGGAUUGUGAUAAGACAGCCUCCCGAGCACCCAUGUCUCCCAUCUCCACAAUGGCAAAUACUCCCUGGCAAACCACAGGAAUGAUGGUUUUGCAACCAAGAAUCUAAACACAUGCUCCCACAAAGUAUAAGAUUCUUUGAAAUGCAGAUUAACCCAUGCAUUGGGAAUAUGUACUUGUUUUCAUUAACAGGGAACCUAUUUAGAAAAGCAAUUGUUGGGCUGGGGUUGUGGCUCAGUGGUUAGAGCGCUCGCCUCGCGUGUGCAAGGCCCUGGGUUUGAUCCUCAGCACCCACAUAAAAAUAAAUAAAUAAAUAAAGUUUAAAAAAGAAAGAAAAGCAAUUGUCUCUCAGAAUUCUCAUACAUCAUAUUCUCACCCCAGUAUGCCUCUGGAAAAAUCUCAUUUAUUGUUCCUUAUUUUUCCCAAUAAUAUGAUUUCACAAGCUAUAAUAUGAUCCAUUCCUUAACUCUUCCUGGUUUGACUUAACAUUUAUGAAAACUCCAUAUAGGCUGGGUGCAGUGGCAUACCCCUGGAAACCCCAGCAACUUAGGAAACUGAAAGUUCGAAGCCAUCCUCAGAAACUUGGCAAGACCCUGCCUCAAAAUCAAACAUAAGCUGGAUGCAGUGGUGCCCACCUAAAAUCCCAGUGGCUCAGGAAACUAAGGCAGGAGGAUCACAAGUUCAAAGUCAGCGUCAGCUGGCUUAGUGAGGACCUAAGCAACUGUGUGAGACCCUGUCUCAAAACAUAAAAAGGGCUGUGGAUGUGGCUCAGUGGUUAAGCACCUCUGGGUUCAAUCCCUAGUACCCAAAUAAAUAAGACUGGGGAUAUAGCUUGGAGGAAGUGAACCCGGGUUCAAUUCCAGUACAAAAAAAAAAAGAACCACAUGGCACUGGGGGUUAACUCAAUGGUAGACCACUUGCCUCGAAUGAGCAAGGCCGUGGAUUCAAUCCCCAAGACCACACACACACACACACACACA